rnacentral:misc_RNA from 1 species
UUCACGUGCCACACAGCCGCGGUAAUACGUAGGUGCAAGCGUUAAUCGGAAUUACUGGCGUAAGCGUGCGCAGGCGGUUCGGAAAGAAAGACGUGGAAAUCCCAGAGCUUAACUUUGGAACUGCAUUUUUAACUACCGAGCUAGAGUGUGUCAGAGUGGAGGUGAAUUCGGGCGUGUGCAGGAAUGCGUAGAUAUGCGGAGGAACACCGAUGGCGAAGGCAGCCUCCCGGGGAUAACACGGACGCUCAUGCACGAAAGCGUGGGGAGCAAACAGGAUUAGAUACCCUGGUAGUCCACGCCCUAAACGAUGUCAACUAGCUGUUGGGGCCUGCCCGGUAGCGCAGCGCUAACGUGCGUGAAGUUGACCGCCUGGGGAGUACGGUCGCAAGAUUAAAACUCAAAGGAAUAGACGGGGACCCGCACAAGCGGUGUGGAUGAUGUGGAUUAAUUCGAUGCAACGCGAAAACCUUUACCUACCUUUGACAUGUCUGGAAUCCCGAAGAGAUUUGGGAGUGCUCGCAGAGAACCGGAACACAGGUGCUGCAUGGCUGUCGUCAGCUCGUGUCGUGAGAUGUUGGUUAAGUCCCGCAACGAGCGCAACCUUUGUCAUUAGUUGCUGCCAGAAAGGGCACUGGAUGAGACUGCCGGUGACAAACCGAGGAAGGUGGGGAUGACGUCAAGUCCUCAUGGCCCUUAUGGUAGGCUCACACGUCAUACAAUGGUCGGGACAGAGGGUCGCCAACCCGCGAGGGGAAGCCAAUCCCAGAAACCCGAUCGUAGUCCGGAUCGCAGUCUGCAACUCGGACUGCGUGAAGUCGGAAUCGCUAGUAAUCGCGGAUCAGCAUGUCGCGGUGAAUACGUUCCUGGUCUUGUACACACCGCCCGUCACACCAUGGGAGUGGGUUUUACCAGAAGUAGCUAGCCUAACCGUAAGGAGGGCGAUUACCACGGUAGGAUUCAUGACUGGGGUGAAGUCGUAACAAGGU